rnacentral:rRNA from 1 species
GCCAUGCAUGUCCAAGUAUAAGCAAGUACAAAGUGAAACUGCGAAUGGCUCAUUAUAUAAGUUAUCGUUUAUUUGAUAUUGCCUAUCCUACAUGGAUAACAGUGGUAAUUCUAGAGCUAAUACAUGCUGAAAAUCCCGACUUCGGAAGGGACGUAUUUAUUAGAAUCAGAACCAAUGCCCUUCGGGGUUCCUUGGUGAAUCAUGAUAACUCCACAGAUCGCAUGGCCUUGCGCCGGCGAUGGCUCAUUCAAAUUUCUUCCCUAUCAACUUUCGACGGUACGGUCUUGGCCUACCGUGGUUGUAACGGGUGACGGAGGGUUAGGGCUCGACCCCGGAGAAGGAGCCGGAGGAACGGCUACUACAUCCAAGGAAGGCAGCAGGCGCGCAAAUUAUCCAAUCCCGACACGGGGAGAUAGUGACAAUAAAUACCGAUACAGGGCUCUUUUGGGCCCUGUAAUUGGAAUGAGUACAAUUUAAACCUCUUAACGAGGAACAAUUGGAGGGCAAGUCUGGUGCCAGCAGCCGCGGUAAUUCCAGCUCCAAUAGCGUAUAUUAAAGUUGUUGUGGUUAAAAAGCUCGUAGUCGAACCUCGAGCCUGGCCGGCCGGUCCGCCUCACCGCGUGCACUGGUCUGGCCGGGUUCUUCCCUCUGCGGAACCGCAUGUCCUUCACUGGGCGUGUCGGGGAGGCAGGACUUUUACUUUGAAAAAAUUAGAGUGCUCAAGGCAGGCCAAUGCUCGAAUACAUUAGCAUGGAAUAAUAGAAUAGGACGUUGGUUCUAUUUUGUUGGUUUCUAGGACCGCCGUAAUGAUCAAUAGGGACGGUCGGGGGCAUCAGUAUUCAGCCGUCAGAGGUGAAAUUCUUGGACCGGCUGAAGACUAACUACUGCGAAAGCAUUUGCCAAGGACGUUUUCGCUGAUCAGGAACGAAAGUUAGGGGAUCGAAGACGAUCAGAUACCGUCGUAGUCUUAACCAUAAACUAUGCCGACUAGGGAUCGGGCGGCGUUCUUUCUAGACCCGCUCGGCACCUUUCGAGAAAUCAAAGUGCUUGGGCUCC